rnacentral:lncRNA from 1 species
GAUGUAUGGAACUGCAUAAUGAUUGGUCACUUGUAUUUCUGUCUAGAAUCUUUCCUAUUCAUGUGAAUAAACCUUUUUAAAAGUAUUUUUUAUAAAGUUAUCACCUUUCACUAUGUAAGUGUUUUAUGUAUUACACUUUUUAGGUCCAAAUUACACUUUUUGACCUCCAGUAUUACACUUAGGCCCAAAAUAGGGUUGGCAUCUCUGCAUUUUGCGUAGAGCAUGUCAGGUAAACUAAACAAUAGUCAUCACCUGUAAUGUGAUAUGUCGUAACACUGACAAACCUUUCAGCUGACUUGUCAUAGCAUGAUAGUCAUCAGCCUAAACUCUGAUCAAGUCCAAUGUUCGAUGUUGACAAGAACUUGAUUAUCAUGCUUGCGGAAUCAUAUACUACUCAAACAAGUUGCAGAGCACUCAAUUAAUUCAUAAUACUUUAGUUAAUCUGUCUUACCUUGAUAGAUGUACCAUGGUAAUAUGAAAGAAUUGGGGUUUGUUCUGAGUAUUUUUGGUGUUAUUGCUGAUUACAUUUCCAUUAUACUUAAUUUGGUAUAUCUUUGUUGACUGUAAGCACCAACUGCUCCUGUGCUUCCUCUUUGUACCAUCUUUUAAAGGGGGUGUGCCACACGUUGCCUGAAUUUGGUCACUUCCUACGUUUCAUGGUUCAUGUCUUCAAGGAGGGUUCUUAUUUCAUGUUCUAGAAAUAGUCAUUCCUGUUGUUGAAAUGUCUGUGUCAUAUGUUGGUUUGUCCAGAAUAGUAUAUAGAUUGGUGUUGAGCCUGGCAAGAAGGGCUUACUGAGUCCAUGAUACAUGAUACAUGAUGAGUACAUGAUACAACUGAUGGGGUUGACACUACAGUGUGGACAAGGGAAAUGUUGUUGAGUUUCUGGGACUGCACAUGAAAAUUGGCAUUGUUUUACACCUGAUACUAUUAUUACAGAGUGGAUAGUAAUAAACUUAAAUAACAUGUAACCAUGGUAACAGAUGUCACAACAAAACAAUUACCAUCCUUUCCAAAACGAUUUCUAGCAUUUUCCGACAAAUUACCAAAUAAUUUCUAUGUGGUGAUUACGUAAACAUGACUUGAAUUUAUCAAUAUUCCCAUGCAAUCCAUUUUCUUAUUCAAGUAACUUUGGAAUCUUAUUAGGUGGAGGGAGUUGGGAUGGGGAAGUGGUUAAUGUGUUGGCUCACCUGAAGUUCAAUUUUCAACAUGGGUACAAUAUGUGAGCCCAUUUCUCACCAUAUUCUCUUAUUAUUUGAAUUGUGGGAUUUAAGUAUUAGGUACCAUUCAUUUAAAAAUUCCACAUGUUUCAUUCAACAUACUUAUCUGUUUACGUGUUUCUUGUUUUGGGUUUUUUUCCAAAGCAGGUUAAGGUAAUACUGUUGAUGAUUUUGAACCUUAGAUCUUUAACCACCAUCUACAGCAAACCUUAUAUUAAAGGAAACGACAUGUUUGUCUUCAUCUUAUGGCGUCCACUGCUAGAAACCAGAUGAUAUUUUUACUCUGUGUCAUACUUGUGAUUAGACCAUACUGUCCAGAUUAAUCAAGUUUCACUGUUAUGAGAGUCCAUUUCAUGUUGUUCAAUGCUUGAUCUUGUUUGAAUUCAUUGGUAUUGGUUUUUAUAACAUUGUCUUUAACAUUGUCUUUAAUGUUAGAAGUGAUUUGUAAACUUAAAGAUGUACUACUCUCUAUAUUUGUUGAACAUUCGUUGUUGUCUUUUCUCAAUUGUACUUACAAGUUAAUGGUGACAUUUUCUAAAAUUCAAAAGAAUGACUCCAAGAGCAAUGAUCCUAAUGAAGUCUCAUUAGAUACUAUACCAAGUGACAAGUUGUCAGAGAUAAAUGUUUUUCAGUAAUGAAUUUCUACAGUAUGAUGAAUGUUGAUCUUUGCCUCAAGUGCUGCAGGAGUUAUCUGAUCUGUGUGACAGGUGGAGAAAUUCUGUGUUGAAUGAGACUCGGGACAGGUAGAUCAGUCUGUGGAUGCAUUAAUCCUACCUGCUGUCCUUUGUUUUAGGUGUAUGGUGACCUGCAUGAGUUGUAAGAUAAUAUGACAUAUUAUUUAUGGUAUUAAAAAUGCUUGUAUCUCAAGGGCCACCUGUCUGUUAUUACAUACCUGAGACUGUCCAUGGAACUAUAUAAGCCACGUUGAAAUUAUUAUCCAAUUUUACGCUCAUUCAACAUAGCCUCAUUAGGGUUACUUUUGACUUUUUAUGUACCAUUCUGGAAAAUUAUUUACAAUUCUUGAAACUCUCAUUCAUAAUUUCAAUCUUGUUUUCAUGCCUGUGGCCAAAAUAUUGAAUAUCAUACUUUUGUCCAGGUGUCCGGUUUAUCCAGGUUGACCUGAGGUAUGUGUCCCACAGUAUGUCAUGUUUACUAUGACAGGUGUCUGACCCAGUGAACUGUGUGUUUGUUCUGUUGGUAUCGGAAUGGAUGGGUGGAGAUUUCCCCACAAUAAACAGGAUGUCCUAUCUC